UACGUAGGGGGCUAGCGUUGUCCGGAAUCAUUGGGCGUAAAGCGCGCGUAGGCGGCCCGGUAAGUCCGCUGUAAAAGUCAAAGGCUCAACCUUUGAAUGUCAGUGGAUACUGCCGGGCUAGAGUCCGGAAGAGGCGAGUGGAACUCCUGGUGUAGCGGUGGAAUGCGCAGAUAUCAGGAGGAACACCCAGGGGGAAACCAGCCGACUGGGCAUCUGCUGACGCUGAGGUGCGAGAGCGUGGGGAGCGAACCGG
rnacentral:rRNA from 1 species